AGAGUUUGAUCAUGGCUCAGAUUGAACGCUGGCGGCAGGCCUAACACAUGCAAGUCGAGCGGUAGAGAGGUGCUUGCACCUCUUGAGAGCGGCGGACGGGUGAGUAAUGCCUAGGAAUCUGCCUGGUAGUGGGGGAUAACGCUCGGAAACGGACGCUAAUACCGCAUACGUCCUACGGGAGAAAGCAGGGGACCUUCGGGCCUUGCGCUAUCAGAUGAGCCUAGGUCGGAUUAGCUAGUUGGUGAGGUAAUGGCUCACCAAGGCGACGAUCCGUAACUGGUCUGAGAGGAUGAUCAGUCACACUGGAACUGAGACACGGUCCAGACUCCUACGGGAGGCAGCAGUGGGGAAUAUUGGACAAUGGGCGAAAGCCUGAUCCAGCCAUGCCGCGUGUGUGAAGAAGGUCUUCGGAUUGUAAAGCACUUUAAGUUGGGAGGAAGGGCAGUAACCUAAUACGUUGCGGUCUUGACGUUACCGACAGAAUAAGCACCGGCUAACUCUGUGCCAGCAGCCGCGGUAAUACAGAGGGUGCAAGCGUUAAUCGGAAUUACUGGGCGUAAAGCGCGCGUAGGUGGUUUGUUAAGUUGGAUGUGAAAUCCCCGGGCUCAACCUGGGAACUGCAUUCAAAACUGACAAGCUAGAGUAUGGUAGAGGGUGGUGGAAUUUCCUGUAGCGGUGAAAUGCGUAGAUAUAGGAAGGAACACCAGUGGCGAAGGCGACCACCUGGACUGAUACUGACACUGAGGUGCGAAAGCGUGGGGAGCAAACAGGAUUAGAUACCCUAGUAGUCC
rnacentral:rRNA from 1 species